rnacentral:rRNA from 1 species
UACAGAGGUCUCAAGCGUUGUUCGGAUUCAUUGGGGCGUAAAAGGGCGCGUAGGCGGCGGGGGUAAGUCUGGUGUGAAAUCUAGGAGCUCAACUCCUAAAACUGCACUGGGAUACUGCUCUGCUAGAGGACUGGAGAGGAGGACUGGAAUUCACGGUGUAGCAGUGAAAUGCGUAGAUAUCGUGAGGAAGACCAGUGGCGAAGGCGGGUCUCUGGACAGUUCCUGACGCUGAGGCGCGAAGGCCAGGGGAGCAAACGGG